rnacentral:rRNA from 1 species
GGUUGACCUCGGAUCAGGUAGGAGUUACCCGCUGAACUUAAGCAUAUCAAUAAGCGGAGGAAAAGAAACCAACCGGGAUUGCCUCAGUAACGGCGAGUGAAGCGGCAAGAGCUCAAAUUUGAAAUCUGGCCCCCUUGGGGUCCGAGUUGUAAUUUGCAGAGGAUGCUUCGGGUGCGGUCCCCGUCUAAGUGCCCUGGAACGGGCCGUCAUAGAGGGUGAGA